CCCCGCGGAGGGAGAGGCCUCGCCCCGGGAGAAGCCGCCGCACGGUGUUGUUUGCUGCUGGACUCCCCCAUCCCCACAACCCCGCAGGAUGAUAUGAGACUUGAAAGAAGACGAUGCAUACAGGUGAUUUAAUAUUUAGGAUUUUUACAAUGAAAAAUGAUGGAUGUUCUUGAUGUGCUUUUUGUUGCUGUUCCAUUCUCUGUCCCCCCACUGUUCUAACUCAGUAGAAUAUUUAAGAACCUACAGAAUUUUGAAAUCUUUCUUAGCACUUUCAAAACUCUUCUGCAGCUCGGAAAACUCUUCUUCUUCCAGGAAGAAAAUGGUUUUUCUCAAUGGAAAUACUGUUUUCAAAGUUUUUAUGGGAAUGCUUCUGAAGGUGCCAAUUAAAUGGACUGGUUGAUAUUUUAGGAAGUUCUCCCAUUUUUUGGCUAAUCAGAAAUCCUGGAAGUGCCAAGUGUAUUUCCAGAUUCAAUGGUUGAUUUUUAGUUUUGCUGGAAAUCCAGUUGAUAUUUCAACACAGAAAAUCAUGAGCAGCAGAAAUAGAAUAAAACCGAGUUUGUCCAAGAGGGUUGGUCUAAUUUUUUAUUAAUUUUUUUAUACCUAAAUACCUUUAUUUCAAUCAGAUCUUUGGUUUGCUUGUUCAGCUUUAAACCCCAGGAAUCCUUAGGGCUGGG